rnacentral:rRNA from 1 species
GACUCUUUAAACGGCCGCGGUAUCCUAACCGUGCAAAGGUAGCAUAAUCACUUGUCCCCUAAAUAGGGACUAGAAUGAACGGCUAAAUGAGGACAAAACUGUCUCUUACGGACUAGCCAAUGAAAUUGAUCCUUCAGUACAAAAGCUGAAAUUAACCCAUAAGACGAGAAGACCCUGUGGAGCUUCAAAACCAAAACCACUAAACAUGCCUCCUGGUUUUUUAGUUGGGGCGACUUUGGAGCAAAAAAAACCCUCCAAAACAUAAAUCUAUUUAUNAAGAACAACACACCAAAAAUAAUAUUAUAGACCCAGCAGUAUUAAUUUACUGUCUGAUCAAUGAACCAAGUUACCCCAGGGAUAACAGCGCUAUCCUCUUCUAGAGUCCUUAUCGACAAGGGGGUUUACGACCUC